CCCAGCAACAAGUGGCGUCAUCCAGCAACAGUGGAGACAGCCAGGCCUUCUCACUCUUCCAGAGAGACACUCGCUUCCUUGCUCCAGCACCAUCUUGGUUGGAAAGAGAGCUCCAGUGUGUCACAGGGUGUCACAGGGCCACCCAAGCUCAACACUGACCCAUGGCCAAUGGCUAUCUUCGAGGUGCCAUGAUCCUGGCGCUCUCAAAGGCGGUGUUCACCCCGGGAUACCUUCCUUCUUCCCAUCCCUCACACUCAGCAGCCUAUGGAGAAGGGCGAUGGCCCCACUGACAGGCUUCCUGCCUCCACUCCCAUGGACUCUCUCUCUGUCCCUGGUGAGAUCCCAUUGUCUCACCCCUCUGUCCAGGGCGCUCAGGUGUUUACCCCAUUAAUUAGAAGGCACACAGGAGAUGCCUGUGCCAGGAAGAAGCUGCCUCAAAGGGUAGGUUGGUGCGUGGGUGGGUAGGGGUUCCUCGAACCUCAGCCUAGAUACCCCACCCCAUCCCCCUACCUCCACCCUGCACCAAGGCCAGGCAUUUGAGUCAAAAUGUCCUGAGCACUCUGAGACUUGGAAGUGUUCAAGGGUCUGCUGUGGAAUGUCACUCUGGAAUGCGCCCCACCCCCCAAGGCAUUCCCUCCCCCAGUCACAGUUGAAGGCACCGGGGUGGGGGCGGCGGGGAGAGGAAGCUUCAGGAGCACACCUUACUUCCACAUAUUCUCCUCCCCACGGGCUUUAGGAUCUGGAUCGUGAAGUCUAGAUGGGGUCUCGCUGUGUUGCCCAGGCUGGAGUGCCGUGGCUAUUCACAGGUGCAAUCCCACAGCUAAUCAGCACGGGAGUUUUGACCUGCUCCGUUUCUGACCUGGGCCAGUUCACCCCUCCUUAGGCAACCUGGUGGUCCCCCACUCCCGGGAGGAUUGAUGCCAAACUUAGUAGAGACACCCGAUUGGCAGCCCAGAACUCCUGGGCUCAAGUGAUCCUCAUACCUCAGCCUCCCGAGUAGCUAGGACUACAGGCACACGCCCCCGGCCCGGAUAACGCCCUCUUUCUAGAAAAUGGGGAGCAGAUGGGACACCUUUCAACCCACUCUACCCCAGCCACCCUGUUCCUGUUACGUAAUAUUGCUGUGGAACAAAUAACAUCCAAACUUAGUGGCUUCAAACAGCAACAACCAUCUUAUUACCUCCCAUGGUUUCUUUGGGCUAGGAGUCCAGGCAGGGCCUGGCUGGGCAUGAUCUUAGCUCCCAGCAGCCUCCUCCCAGGCCUAAGUGAUCCUCCCAUCUCAGCCUCCCGAGUAGCUGGGACUACAGGCGUGUACCACCAUGCCCAGCUCAUUUUGUUUGUUUUUUAUCGAGACCAGGUUCUACCUCUGGGUCUUUCAGACAGACAGGUGCAGUCAGGCAGUGCACGCUGCUGUGACAGCAUGGGGCUGAGGUAGUGGGGGACUGGCAGGCAUCUGUGUCCCCUCCUUCCUUCAUGUGGCUUCAGGGCCUUUACCUGUGGCUAGUUAGGGUUUCAUCAGUGCGUGUCAGCCUUAGGGAAGUCCGAUGGCUUCCUGGAGAGCAAGGCAGACAGCAUGCAUUCUUUGAUCCAGCUUUCAGCAUCCCAGAGGGUCACUUCCGCUGUGAUCUCUCAGCUGAGACAGCCUCCAAAGCCUGUCCUGCCCCAGGGUUUUCACCAGGUCUCAGCAAGUAGAGCUCUCUCCAGCAGUGCAUCUCCCUUCACAGCUUCAGUAACUAACUGCCAAGUUCUCCCAACCAAGGGCAGAGCCUCAGUUGGAUACAGGAAGUUGACUCUGGGGCUCACGGCUACUGCCUGUCCUUCCUCCACCUGGGAAAGGGGACCUGUCUAAGUUGAAAACUGCUCUCCAGCUGGGCAUGGUGGCUCAUGCCUGUAAUCCCAGCUUUUAGGGAGGCAAAGGCAGGAGGAUAGCUUGAGCCCAAGAGUUUGAAACCUGCCUGAGCAAUAUAGCCAGACCCCGUUCUCUAAAAAUUAAAUAAGGUUGGGUGUGGUGGCUCUGAGAACUUUGGGAGCCUGAGGCGGGUGGAUCCCUUGAGGCUAGGAUUUUGAGACCAGUCUGGCCAACACGGUGAAAUGCAGUCUCUACUAAAAAUACAAAAAAUUAGCUGGGUGUGGAGGUGUGAACCUGUAAUCCCAGCUACUUAGGAGGCGGAGGCAGCAGAAUCACUUGAACCUGGGAGGUGGAGGUUGCAGUGAGCUGAGAUCACACCACUGCACUCCAGCCUGGGCAACAGAGUGAGACCUUGUCUCAAAAUAAAUAAAUAGGCUGGGUGUGGUGGCUCACACCUGUAAUCCCAACACUUUGGGAGGCGGAGGUGGAUAGAUCAUCUGAGGUCAGGAGUUUGUGACCAGCUUGGCCAACAUGGAGAAACCUCGUCUCUACUAAAAUUAGAAAAAAAUUAGCCAGGCGUGGUGGCACACCUGCCUGUAAUCCCAGCUACUCAGGAGGCUGAGGCAGGAGAAUUGCUUGAACCUGGGAGGCAGAGGUUACAGUGAGCCAAGAUUGUCCAGCCUGGGCAACAGAGCGAGAUUCCAUCUCAAAAAAAGAAAUAAAUAAACGAUAAAUAAAUAAACUGCUCUCCAGAUGGUUUGAAGACGACAGGGAUGCAGUGAGAGGAGGCCCGCGGACCCCUAGCCAGACAACCUGGCUUCCAGACCUGGCUCUCCCGUUUCUAUUCGUGUGGCCUAAGUGUCAUUUCCUGCUCAAUCACAAAAGGCAGGACGCCUGCCCGGCCGCCUUUCACGGUUGUCAUGGGUGGAAUGUGAUGAAAUAUGUUAGAGUGCUUGGAACACUCGUUACUGCUCUUCAAAUAAAAGCGAUUGUGUGCGCUUUCACUCCUCAGAGUGCUGCAAACACCAGCUGUUUUAUAAAUAGUUGUGGAUUUUAAUGUAGAGGUUUCAUAUCAACCCCAGAAGGAGUGCCGCCCACUCUACCCUGUCACCCGGCUAGUCACCAGGGACACCACUGGGUCAAAUCAUGAAUGAGGGGCUGUGGUCUGUGUGGCCCCCAAAUAGCCAGUGAAUGAGGAUGGGAAAGGACAUGGCUGUGUGAACACACUACCCCAAAACUUAGUGGCUCAAUCAACAAUUUAGUUUUCUCUCUCACGAUUGUGUGGGUUGAUGGGGUUCCACUGACCAGUUCUUCCUCAGGGAUCUCUGUGUAGGUGCAGACAGAUAGAAGCUGGGGCUGUGGCCAUCUGAAGGCUCAACUGGGCUGGAUGUCCAAGAUGGCGACUCAGGAACCCUCCACGUGGCCUCUCCAGCAGUAUGGCCUGGGCUGCUGCUUUUUUGAGAAAGGGUCUUGCUUUGUUGCACUCCAGCACUAGCAUAAUCUCAGCUCACUGUAGCCUCCUCCCAGGCCCAAGCAAUCCUCCCAUUUGAGCUUCCCGAGUAGCUGGGACCACAGGUGUGUACAAGGGACCACAUGUGUGUACCACUACACCCAGCUAAGUUUAUUUUUUGUAGAGAUGAGGAGUCAUUGUUGCCCAGACUAGUCUCCAACUCCUGGACUCAAAUGAUCAUCCUGCCUCAGCCUUCCAAAAUGCUAGGAAUACAGGCCACUGCCAUCCAGCCCCAGGCUUCUUUUUUUUUGAGACGGAAUCUCGCUAUGUUGCCCAGGCUGGUAUAGUGGCGUGAUCUCGGCUCACUGCAAGCUCUACCUCCUGGGUUCAAGCACUUCUCUGCCUCAGCCUCCCGAGUAGCUAAGCUUACAGGCACCCACCACCAUGCUUGGCUAAUUUUUGUAUUUUUAGUAGAGAUAGGGUUUCACCAUGUUGGCCAGGCUGGUCUUGAACUCCUGACCUCAUGAUCCACCCACCUCGGCCUCCCAAAGUGCUAGGAUUACAGGUGUGAGCCACCCAGGCUUCUUAAAUGUAAGCUCCUGGCUUCAAAAGCAGGUAGACAUUGUCAGUUCUCUACAGAGUUCCAGGUGCAUUUGGCACAGAGUCACAAGCUGAUACCACCAUAUUCUUUUGGUCAAGACAUACCACAUUCAAUGGGGUCAUGGAGAAAGAAACUCCACUCGUCAGUGGGGCAAUGACAUGGAGGGAAGGAAGUGAUGCCUACUCCCUUUGGAGACAAGCUGCCACCCAGAAUGAGGGCCAGUUCCACUCCUAAGCCUAUCCAUCUGCCCGGCUUAGAAGGUUUGUCAUGGUGACAAUGUGGGAGUCCUGGCUUUGGGUGGAGAGUGUGGGGAGCAGCAGAGGCCCCUGAAAAGAAAAGCCGCUGAGCAACCUUACCCACCCCACCCCGACUGGUGCAAUGGGAAUUAGAGCUCUGGGGCGCCAACGUCAGGGCCAAGAUACAGAGGCCUGUCCCUGGCCACCGUCCAGCCUGGCCUCCCUCCCACAUCCUGACCACAGCUCUGACCAGGCAGUUGGGUGACUACGUGGGGGCGGCUUCUGAUUGUCCACCACACAGCUGCGCAGGCACAGGCGCCAAAGCGGGCCAAACAAGCCUUUCAUUGGACUGGCUAUCUCUUGGGUAAAGAACUGGCCACAGCCCUUUCUGUUUGCAUUUCUCAAGCCUGGUGGAGCCAGUGCCAUGCGCAGCCAGCCUCCCCGCUCCUGUGUGUUUUCUGGCCUCUCCCCUCCUCCUGCCACCUUGUAGCGGCUUCCCUUAAACUGGCACUGCUCCGGGCUUUCUGAGCUACUCCCCGCCCCAACAGCUGAUUUCUCCCUUUCUUUAUCCCUUUCUCCAUCUACUCUCUCAUUCUACCAGCAUCAUUGGGGACCUCAGAGUGGGUGGGAACCAGGGACGUUGGCAACCACCCUGCAAGGCUCACACAUAAAUGUUGGGCGCCGUGACUCGCGCCUGUACGAGUGCUCAUCCCAGCACUUUAGCAGCCGAGGCGGGCAGAUCACCUGAGGUCAGGAGUUUGAGACCAGCCUGGCCAACCUGGUGAAACCCUGUCUCUACUAAAAAUACAAAACUUAGCCAGGUGUGGAGGCACGUGCCUGUAAUUGCAGCUCCUGGGGAGGCUGAGGCAGGAGAAUCGCUUGAGCUGUGCUGUACUGGUUGGAUAGUGCUAGAGGCCAUGUGGUCAUGAACGAAGUUGAAAAGGUUUGCUAUUUGGCUGUUUACAGAAAAUGUUUGCUAAGCCGUGAAUUGGGGAGGUGGUGGGGCCUCAGUAUGGUCUCUGCAUGAGACGGUCUCUGCCUGGGCUCCUGAUAGAGGAGGGGAGAGAUUUGUGUUUCCAAUCAGAAACAGUUCAUUGGAUGGGGUACUGGUGUCUGUGUCCCAAUCCCGCGCACUGGUCUUCAGGAGGGAAGCAAGGUGGGGGUUCUGAGUGGUGCUGAGUCAGGACUGGGUCCUCCUCACCCCUUCUCAGGGGCUACCCUGCUCACUGAGCAGCUGCAGCCCCCCUCAGGCUUUGGACAGCCACCAGCGUAGGACAACUAGUGCCCCUCCCCUGCAGGUCCAGGCAGCGGCAGGAGGUCAGGACAGAACUUGUUUUCAGCACACAAGGAAUCCUGCCCCCACCAUACCCAGAAAUGUCUGCAGAGCCUGGGGCAGGAGGUGAAUUCCUGAGUGAGCCCCUAACACGCUCAUCUGAAAAUGCCACCUGUGUGGUGUGGGUGGCUGGAGAGGCUGGGUUCCCUGUCCUCCGUGCCCUCUCUCCACACUCCACAGAGAGAUGUCCUCAGGGUUCUACCCUCCUGUCACUGGUCAGAGUGACACUCAGGACUGCCCCAUUAGGAACAGCGGUGGUCUCUUUCUUGGAUGACUCUUCUUGCUCCUGGGGUACCCUGGGUUCUCCCCAGCCAUUCUCUGAGAUAUGGGAGGGGCUCUGGGGAAGGGAAGGCCUGCCCUGGACAGAUCUCAGCCACAUGGAGAGAUGAGAACAUGCAUUCCACCUGCAAGGGGCUUUCAAACAGCAACUAAGCCCGUAUAGAGGCACAUGACCCCAUUCCUCCUCACUGCCCGGUGAAGCUGUGCCAGUCCCUGGCACAGCUUUGUGCCUGGAGUAGUGCUGGCCAGGCUGGCCACUGUGCCACUGAGCCAUUGGCAUGCCCUGAGCCCCCAGUGGCACCAGCUCCUCGGGGAGGACGGCCUCUGUGCCCAAGUCUCUUAUUCUGAGAUGAGGGUCUCCCUGUGUUGCCUAGGCUGGAAUGCAGUGGAUAUUCACAGACUCGAUCACGGCUCACUGCGGUCUUGAACUCUGGGCCUCAAGUGAUCAUUCCGCCUCAGCCUUCCAAGUAGCUGGGACUACAGACACGAGAAGCCACCCACACUCACCUGACCAGCCGGAACCCAGGGGAGCCGGCCUUAAUCCUGGCUUCCCUUCGGCUCAAAAGAAUCUGGAUCACAACAGGAUGCCAGAGAAGAGGUGGCCACAAGACCCCAGCAGCGCUGUUCUCAUUUCGGGGGCUCCUCAGCCGAGAUCCCUCACUCUCUUCUGGAAUUCUUCUGGUUUCCUCACGGACGUCAUUAAAAUUUGUAUUCACUCAUGUAAUAAAUAUUUAUUGAGAA